GCUGUGGAUCAGUGGUAGAACAGCUGCUUUGCAUGCAGAAUGUCACAGGUCCAAUUCCUGACAUGUCCA